rnacentral:rRNA from 1 species
GACGAACGCUGGCGGCGUGCCUAACACAUGCAAGUCGAGCGAGAGACUUCGGUCUCUAGCGGCGGACGGGUGAGUAACACGUGGGUAACCUACCUCAAACAGGGGGAUAGCCUCCCGAAAGGGAGAUUAAUACCGCAUAACAUCACGCUAUCGCAUGAUAGUGUGAUCAAAGGAGUAAUCCAGUUUGAGAUGGGCCCGCGGCGCAUUAGCUAGUUGGUGAGGUAACGGCUCACCAAGGCGACGAUGCGUAGCCGACCUGAGAGGGUGAUCGGCCACAUUGGAACUGAGAUACGGUCCAGACUCCUACGGGAGCAG